rnacentral:rRNA from 1 species
CGUAGGUGGCAAGCGUUGUCCGGAAUUAUUGGGCGUAAAGCGCGCGCAGGCGGUCCUUUAAGUCUGAUGUGAAAGCCCACGGCUCAACCGUGGAGGGUCAUUGGAAACUGGGGGACUUGAGUACAGAAGAGGAAAGCGGAAUUCCACGUGUAGCGGUGAAAUGCGUAGAGAUGUGGAGGAACACCAGUGGCGAAGGCGGCUUUCUGGUCUGUAACUGACGCUGAGGCGCGAAAGCGUGGGGAGCAAACAGGAUUAGAUACCCUGGUAGUCCACGCCGUAAACGAUGAGUGCUAAGUGUUAGAGGGUUUCCGCCCUUUAGUGCUGCAGCUAACGCAUUAAGCACUCCGCCUGGGGAGUACGGCCGCAAGGCUG